CCCAUGUACAUGCAUCAUUUAUUAAAAUCCAGACGGAUAUCAAAGAAAUACAAUUGAUCAAUUGGAAACAAAGGUUGUUUUAUUUAAAGUAUUAAAAGCAUGAUAACAUACAUGGUUGGUUUUUAGUUUUUGAGACAUAUUAUCAUUCUUAAGUGGCAAUUUCCAAAGCCAUCCUCAAUUAGUCAUUUUCAAUUGCGCGACUUGCAUAUUCCUCCAUCAUAAUGAGACCACUCAGAGACACAAAUACACUCUUCGCUGUCGCCGCAUGCAUUCGACUCAUAUUGUGAACAAACCCUACCGGCGAAUGGACACUGCCCUUCUUCAACGUUCUUCGUCUGGACGAUUACUGCAAAUGGCAAAGAAAGUUAAAGUUGGAACCAAUACACAUCUAUGCAUAUAACGUAUAUAUUUAGGAAAGUUUGGUAUUAAAUUGAGCAUGUAGUAUACUAAUUUUUUCAUAACAUAUAAAUACAUCGGUGAGAAAGAUGAGCGCAAUGUUAAAAAAAAAUAUACAUACAGCAGAAUUGCGUGAGCAUGAAAACAGCCAAAGUAGCAAGCUUAACAUAAGUCAUUGUUUGAUCAAAAGAAAGAAUAAGCUAAAAUUAUUUGAUAUGAACUUAGCUUAGUGUUGUAACAAUUUAUAGAGAGGUCUAUCUAUAUACUAGCAGACACUAUAGCUCCCUACGUUAAUUGUUAGGAAAAGUGAAAUGGCUAUAUUUAACAAUUUAUAGAGAGGUCCAUAUAUCAACUGACACUAUAGCUCCCUCAUGAAAUUAAAAUUGUUUCAUUCCCUUUCAUCAAAAAAUAAAUAAAUAUUCACUCCCGUACAAUAGUUGACAAUGUUUAUAUAAUUUCUUUUCGGCGUGUUUUCGUCUUAUAACUGAAAAGGCAAGGCUCGUGUUAACUGAAAAAGCAAGGCUUGUGAAUAAUGACAUUAUUUUUACCUUUUAACUAAAAAACAACCUUGUCAAAAAAAUAAUAUAAAAACAACCAUGUCAAAAAAAAAAUAUAAAAACAACAUUCAAUCGAAUACAUCUAACGACACAAAUUCAAAAUCGUUACAACAGAGCUCAAUCUUUGGUCAGAUUUUACUUGUCUUUUGGUCGAACUCAAACUAUCAAUGUCUCUUUUUCAUGUGAAUUGGAGGGUUGCACAAAAAAAAAAAUCAAUAAAACCAAAAAAGAUGAAUUUACGAACUUAUUCACAACAUCCAGGUUAAUAAAAUAUUGCAGCGUAUAUGAAAGAUAAUAACUAGCAAAAAUGCUUUUGAUGAAUUAUAUGCUUAUUAUUAUUGAAUGUGAAAUAUCACCCCUUCUGCUUGGAAAUGUUGCUCUUCGUAUGAGUAACUUGCAGCCGAUCGAGAAUAAGUAGCUGUUGAUUGCUGUCGUGAGUGGUUAUCCCUCACUGUGUCUUUAGGUGCUCUGAUACGUAACGAGAUGAGAACUAUGUUGCAUGCUUUUCUAUUCCUUACGUAUUACUUUAAUGAUAUUCAUGAAUAAGUUGUUGAUUUAACUUUAUGAGAUGUUUAUGAUGAAGCCUUCGUGCCAAAGACUAUUUUAGAUGUUGAAAUAAAUUCCGCUACGAAAUAUUAAUUAUUAUGUUGUAGACUUUUGAAGAAAAAUUAGUUAAUUAUUCCAUUUAUGAUUUUUAAGAAGUGUCGCAUUCCGUUUAAGGUGUUUUACUCUGAUUUUUAUGAGAAAUUUUCAAGUUGGCAAAACGAGGUGUUACAAUUGGUAUCAUAGCAGGUCGGUCUGUCCGGCUAGGUAGUUGAGUCAUUUGUGUCGUGUGACAGUUGAAUAUUGUCGUUGUGUUUUUCUAAUUAACAGUUAUGCUUUAUUAUGUGAUCAUGUUUGACUGACUAGCUUUAUUGUGAUUUAUGUGUAUUGUUGAAGUUUCUAUUUUGUUAUACAUAGUUUAAGAUAUUUAAGCAAUAAUUAAAUUCAUUUUUCUCUUGUGCUUUGAAUUUCGAGUACGAAAUUCUUUUAAGGGGGGUAGAGUUGUAAUUCCCUCUUUAAUUAUUUAAUUAUUUUAUAGAGUUUAGAGUCCACUUUGAUGAUUUAUGUGAUGUGUUGAUAUUUUAUUUAAAGACUUAUUUUAUUAUUUACUAGAAUAAGAUUUGAAAAUAAAAUAAAUAUUGAGAUGUGGGAGAGAUAUAAGGAGGAAACUAGGUUUAAAUAGAGGAAAUAAGAUAAAGUGGAUUGAGGAGAGAUAUAAGGAGGAAACUAGGUUUAAAUAGAGGAAAUAAGAUAAAGUGGAUUGAGGAGAGAUAUAAGGAGGAAACUAGGUUUAGAAAAGUUUUUACGUGAAACUGCUUUUUGGAGAAAAAGGGAGAAAACAAGAGAAGAGGAGAACCAAGAGGGAGAGAGACCGCUGACCAUCAAUACUACGGUAAGGGUGGGACUAACCUUCAAUAAUUCUAAGUAUGUGAUUCUGAAGAUGAAUUUAACAUGGUUGUAGGUUGAGGUUUUAGAAUUUGAGAGUUUAGAAUUAAAAGAUGAAAUUGAAAUUUGAGAAUUAAGGAAAACCAGUUUAGGUUUCGAAUUGAAUUUCUAGUCUUAAAAAGAGUGGAUAAUACAGUAGGUUGAUGAAUAAUUAGUGUUAUAAUGAUAGGGUGAUCAUAGGGUAAUGAUUAGGGUCAUGUUUGGAGAGUAUUGGAUCGAAAAAGGAGUCGAAAAGAUUUCCCCAAAGGCGAAAUCGCAGCUGAACUGGGAUUUUGCUGUCAGUGUGCAAAACACGUUUUUAUUGUCUCAGUUUGACAAGUUUAAGUUUCGAACUGGGUUUAGGUUCUUUCACGAAAGUUGUAGAUAUGGAUGUUAUCUGUCACUCGUGUUUGGAGGCACUCGAUUUAAGCACAUAGAACACAAGAUAUGAUCAAAUUACUACACAGGGGUCAGCAGGGAUCAGCACAGUCGUCCUCUUUUCCCGAGCAUAGGAAAAUCAACUUUUCUGGAAUUGUCUGUUCUGAAUUAGGUUUGGGAGUCUUCAUGAAAGUUGUAGAUAUGGUUGUUAGCUUUGAGUUGCUUUUGGUUGGACCCUAUUUAGAUUUUUAUAACUUUAGUUAGGAUUAAUAUACCGCACGUGGGUCAUGCUGCGUUUUCCAUGAAAUUUCAGCAUAACCCUCUCAGUGGACUCUAAAAUUCUAUGACAUCAUUAGUGAGUUUAAGCAAGCCAUUAGCGUGUAAAUUAAAAGUAAGAGUCCUUAAAAUAUAUACCUAGAUGAGGAAGUGUGUUUAGGCAUAAAUAGAAGUGAUUAGCUCAAGGUAAUAACAAGCUUAAAUAUGAACCAAAGAUAAUAUGGAUGAUGCUACGAGGAAUAUUAGUAGAGUGGUAAGCACUUAAAUUAGAAUAGAGAAUGGGGUAUACUAUCAGAAUGAAAGGUGUAGUAAUGGAGAGAACGAAAGACGAGAGUAGAUUCCAAAAUGUAGUAAUGAAUAACAAAGGAAUGUGAUGUGUACAUAUGCUCGUGUAAGAUGUUGUUUAAUGAUGAGAGAUUAAUGUUGUAUGAUGAAGAUCUACGUUGAGAUGAUAAUUAUUAAAUGAUGAUGAUGAAUGAUGUUUGUGAAUGACGAGUAAUAUCGAUGACGUAUCCUGUUUAGGUUUCUUGCGAUCUUCUGUCGCACGUGAUGUUAUGAGUCGACCCCUGGGGUAGGAAUGAAGUUGUUAAUGAUUAUAAUGAGGUUCAGAGAAGAUGAAUAAGAUGAUUAAUAUUGAUGAUUUACUUUGAUGAUUAAAUGUGAAAAUAUUUAUAUAUUGUGAAAGACGUUGAUAUGAAAUUGUAAUUGUUAUAUAUGAUGUUAUUAUUGAUGGUGACUUUCUGCAUACGUUUAAAUGGUGCUGUCUCGUUGUUGUGAUGAAUUAAUAUCAUUAAGAUGUCAACUUGUUAAGUUGUAAGAUGUUGAUCCAUAUUAUUUGAGUCAUAUGAGAUGUCUAAGUUGUUAAGUCGUAAGAUGUUGAGUCCAUUUCAUACUCAUUUAAGUUAAGGGCUUGAUGCCCUGUAAUGUAUAUUUAUACAUAUUAUGUUGAGGGCUUGAUGCCCUGUAAGUUGAGGGCUUGAUGCCCUGUGAGCCUAUUUACGCUUAUACGUUGAGGGCUUGAUACCCUGGUUGGUACCACAUGCAUGAUUAAGAAGUUGAAGUUGCAUAUGUUGAGUUCAAGUUGUAGAAGUCGCAUUGUCGUUGUCGUUAAGUUGUCAAUUGUCAAUGAGUUGUUAAUAAAGAACUAAGUGAAGUAUUAAUAUUUAUUAAUCGUGUUGUUUAUGUUAUUAUGAGAUGAUGAUUAUGUCGCGUUGUUUAUGUUAUUAUGAGAUAAUGAUUAUGUUGUGUUGUUUAUAUUAUUAUGGGAUGAUGAUUAUGUUGUGUUGUGUUGUUUAUGUUAUUAAUUGAUGAAGUUUAAGUUGUUAAAUGCUUAUGAUGAAUUAUAUGCUUAUUAUUAUUGAAUGUGAAAUCUCAUCUCCUCUGCUUGGAAAUGUUGCUCUUUGUAUAAGUAACUUGCAGGUGAUCGAGAAUAAGUAGCUGUUGAUCGCUGACGUGAGUGGUUAUCCCUCACUGUGUCUUUAGGUGCUCUGAUACGUAACGGGAUGAGAAAUUUGUUGCAUGCUUUUCUAUUCCUUACGUAUUACAUUAAGGAUAUUCAUGAAUAAGUUGUUGAUUUAACUUUAUGAGAUGUUUAUGAUGAUGCCUUCGUGCCAAAGACAAUUUUAGAUGUUGAAAUAAAUUCCGCUGCGAAGUAUUAAUUAUUAUGUUGUAGACUUUUGAAGGAAAAUUAGUUAAUUAUUCCAUUUCUGAAUUUUAAGAAGUGUAGCAUCCCGUUUAAGGUGUUUUACUCUGAUUUUUAUGAAAAAUUUUCAAGUUGGGAAAACGGGGUGUUACAGCAUUGGUUGUGCCAGUUUGUGCAGGAUUACUUGUGCUAGUUUGUGCAUCCUACAUUGUUUAACAUGUAAGUAUUGGUAAUUCUCGCCAGGUGGAAAACUUCUAUCAUCACCUGUUUUUCCCCCUCAUGUCCUUUGAUUAUGUCCAAGCUCUUUACACCUUCUACACCUCACAGUUUCCUGAUUUCUCUUGCCCUUCUAAAGCACUUAAUUUUUCCCUAUAGACCUUGAAAGGGCUCAAUAUCACAUUCCACCUAAUCUUACAGUGAUCUUUCAGAGCCUUAAGGGUCAUAGUAGGUGUAUACUUAAGUAUUGGAACCAGUUUUUUCCCAACAACUUCCCAUUUAACACUCUUUUACCAGUUGGAAAGUAAUUGUGAAUAGGCUUCAAGCUAGCAAGAACAUAAUGAGUUUGAGGAGGAACCUACUAAAUCUAAUAUGCUAUGGACAACUUGGAUAGCACUUGACCACAAUUCUUUUCUUCUCAUUCUUCUCGAGGUACACAUUCUUCUUGUUCUGCAAACCAUACUCUUUCACCUCAGUUUUAACUAAAAGACCAGUGGCAAAGAUCUGACCCUCCUCAAAUACUACAGGUUCAUUGUUAAUACCCAACUUAAACCUAUUCAGUUUCCUCCUUCUUCAUCUCUCUUCUUCCUCAGAUACAUCAAGACUUUCUAGUAUAUCUCAGACUUCAUCCUCAUCUUCAAAGUCUUCCAAACCAGUCACUUCAGGGUUCCUAGAUUGUUCAACACCAACUAAAGAUCGAUUAUGGUUAACUGAAUGACCACCAAGGGUUGGGUUCACAGUCUGGUUAGGCAAAACAAUGGUCCAAUCCCUGUCUUCAUCAAAAUCACUAUCAUCAACAAAUACCUCAUCUACACUUCCAUCCUCAUUUUCUAAUUCAUACUCAGGAACGUCUCCCUCCUCACAACCAUUGUAAUCAGGAUCAGACUCAUCUUAGUCUUCAUCAAUUUUAGCUGGUUUCUUCCCUUUGUCAAGUAUAACAACCUUUUCAACCUCACUAUCAUACCUGCUGUCAGUAACAUCCACAUAUUUGGCUUCAACAUAAAACUCAGCUCCUACUACAUUCUUAUAUUCAUUUACGAACCUAACAACAUCCCUAUCAGUUUUCAACAACCUUAGACCAUCAACUAUAUCAAAACCUGGACAUAUAUACGACAGCUUGUAGUCCUCUACCACCCCAAUCUCUCUGAUCAGUUUAUCUAAAUCUAUUAAGUUCACCUCAUCAGUGUUCCACUCACCACCAAAUUCAUGUAUUUCACCCUUCUUAUAAGCUACCACAGGGUCACAAAUGAAGUAACCCUUGUAGUGAAACCUUAUCUUGGAAUAGUGGUUCUUAACAACCCUAAAAAAGAAUGAAUAAAUGAUACAUAAUGUGUAUUUUUAUAUUGUAGUGAAACCUUGUAGUAACCCUUGUCUAAAUCUAUUAAGUAACCCUUGUAUUUUUAUAUUGUAUUGUAAUACUGUAUGUAACUGUAUACAUAAUGUGUAUCUAUACAGUAUACAUACGGUAUACUCAUACUCUAUACAUACUAGCUAUUCAUAAAGUACACAAAUACAUACAUUUGGUCAUACGAUUUUACACAUACAAAGGAGCUCUCACGUGCCAAAGCCUUUUAUAUUUUCUUUUUUCUUCUUUUUUUAAUUCAACUAAUUUCUGGCGUGGCGUAAAAUUAAAUAAAAAACCAAUAUAUACCGACACGGCCUGACAGCAUGUGCCAAAUCAUCGUUGAUUAGGUCAAAAUUAAUCAAAGGAUGAAAUUUGAAAUGAGGCUAAAUCAUAGGGGGCCAAAAUUACAAAUUUAGUUAAAAAUUUGUAUCAAAUCCAUCAUCUUAUAUUGUCGUAUUUUUGCUUAUAUGUUUAGACAAAGGGAAUAUGGGUUGACAUUAACUGUUCGUUCUCCUUUUUCUCUUAAAAUUUUAUAUCAAUAGUAAUUACCCUUUUACGGUCGGCCUCUAUUUGUUACACGGAUUGUUUUUAUAUUUCGUUCCAUAUAAAUAUGAAAUUUAAACAUUGCAAGAAUUAAAACACCAAUCAAAUUAUAGUGUUAAAUUAAAAGAACGAGUAAUGUACGAGUCAAAAUCACCACACCCAUGCACAUGCAUCAUUUAUUAAAAUCCAGACGGAUAUCGAAGAAAUACAAUUGAUCAAUUAGAAACAAGGUUGUUUUAUUUAAGGUCCAAUGGAUCCAAAUGUCCUUUAAGUUUUUCGUUUUUUUCAAGUUGGACUAUUAAGUUUCAAAAGUUUCAAAUAAGUCCUUUUAGUUUCUGAAACGUUUCAAAGUCAUAUAGUCAGCGUUUCAAUUGCUGUUUUUUUUUUUAGUGAACCAUCAAAUUCGUCCCUGAAUUUUCACACGUCGGCCAACUUCGUCCCUCAAUUAUGAGAAAUAUCAACUUAGUCCCUGAAUUUGUCAGACGUCCAUCAAAAAGGUCCCUCCGUCCAAGUCCUCUGUUAGCCUUGCUGAUCUGUCGCCUUGCAUGCUGUGUUGUCUUGUACACGUGGCAAGAAGGAAGCCACGUGUUCACGGACUAAUUUGAUUGAAUUGGAAAAUGUUGAGUUUUCACUUUUCAGUUUAUUUUUUUCUCCAUUUCCCAUUUUGCCCCUGUAUUACCCAUACCUCCUUCUUCACAUUUCAGAACAUCAAAAACGUCCUUGACCCUUCUUCUUCUCGCUAAAACUUCCUCCAUUUUCACCCCUCCAAAAUCAUCAUCAUCUCCGUCGAUUCUGACAUUUUUGAAGUUUGUGUGUUCGGUUGUGAUUAAAGGUAAACGCCUUUCCUGUUGUUUAUCAAGUUUCUGUGUUCGUAUUCACCCUGUUUUUGUCCGUUUUUUUUGGUGUUUUCGUUUUAAGUUUUGAUCAUGUUGUUUAUUUUGUUUUUGUGAUCGUUGAUGCUUGCGUUGUUCUUUGUUUGUGUUUGUUGUGUUUUUGAGACAGUUGUUUUGAUUAUUCGUUUUAGGGUUUUGGAAGUGAGGCUCAAGAAAGUCAGCCACAAGAAUAAUGUUGUGUCUGGGAAUGCAUAAACUACAGGAAAUGUUGUUGCAAAUGCUGGACAGGUAUGACUCUUAAUUUUUAAGGAUCGUUUUGGCAAUUAAUAAUAUUAAUUGAAGUACUCGUAUGAUUGAUUAUGUUAUGAUUUAGGGACUAAUUUGAUUGAAUUUACAAUUUCAGGUUUCUGCACCAAGGAGGUAUGGCCUUAGAGGACCAGUUCUUUCAGUUGAUAGGCCUAAGCAAACACCAAUGAGGGGUCCUGCACCAGCUCAUCUAACUCCUGCUGGCAUAAUUAGGGUUCCAUAUCCAAUCUAUGGUCCAUCCGGUUCGACCCAACCUACUAAAUUCAUGGAGUUUAUACCAACUACUGGAUUCCCAAAGAAGUGACGCUUCCUGGAGUUUAAUAGAUGUUUUUGAUUUGUAAUAUUUAGGCUUAUUUGAAUUAUGCCCCAUAGUUGGGUUUCUUUUUGCUUAAAUUGUCGUUUAAGACUUAUGACUUGUUAAUGCCUCAUAGUUGGGUUGCUUUUGCAUAUGUAAUUUCUCAGACUUAUGACUUAUAACCUAUGACUUAUGUCUAUGUAAUAUUUCAGUUUCAAUUUGUGUGUUCUGCCUUUUUUAGUUUAUUUUGCACACAUAUGUUUCAAGGAUCAAUUUGAUAUCUGAUUAAACAAUUCAGGGACUUAUUUGAUGGUUUUUUAUAUAACGUAGGGAUCUAUUUGAUAGAUAGAUAAAUAAUUCAGGGACUAAUUUGAUGGCAAUAUUAUUAUAGAAAGAUUACAUUUCUCAAUCAUCUUCAACCUCUUUUGAUUAGUUAAACCAACCUUUGGCAUAGGGCAAGCAUAGAAUGACCUUCCUGGGUUUUUUGAAGUAUUGGAUUUUCUAACAACACAAAUUGUAGGACACCAACAUUCAAGCACUCUCACAACACCAUUAAACUUGGAGCUUGAUGAUGAAGUUUGACUUUCAUAACCGUUUUUUCCCAUAUUCCCACCCCACAUCAUUUCAGAUUCAAUUCAAUAGUUUUGCUUCAAGAAAUUUUGAGGAUUUUGCCUUUUAGAUUCACUACGAAAAAAAUUAGGGUUUGAAGUUUUUUGAAUUGGGGCAGAACUGAACCACUUAUUAUUGGAGGAAAUGUUCAUGAUUAUAGAGUGUAGAUUGCAGAUUGUGUAAUUAGGGUUCCAAUUUUAUACAAUUGGGGAAGAAAGAGUUGUUGGGGAAGAAAAGAGCCAUUUGGGAAGAAAGCCAAAACAUUUUCUGCAAAUCAAUCAAUUUAGUCCUUCGAAAUGUUUGUUAUUAUCAGCCAAAUUAGUCCCUGCCUACGUGGCGUCUGACAUGUGAGAAGUUAACGGUCACGUUAGCCCCGUUAACGCUCCGUUUGAACAGAAGGACCAACUUGAUUGACAUUUAACAAAUUCAGGGAUUAAAUUGAUAUUUCGCAUAAUUGAGGGACGAAGUUGGCUGACCCGUGAAAAUUCAGGGACGAAGUUGAUGAUCUACUCGUUUUUUUUUAGUUGAUAGAAAUUUUGAACUCAAUUUCGUUUUAAAUUGAUAGGAACACUUAAUUUUUUAUGAAAAUUAUCUUUCAUUCAUCACUAUUAUUUUGUUUUGCAUUUGGGUUUAUAUGUUUUUCGAAUGAGAAAUGAUAUUUUGACAACCAUUUUGUGACAACCUAUGUGACAACUUUAUCUCUCAUACUCACAUUAUUUUUUACUUUCUCUCUCUAUUAUUUUGGUUUCCGUGUCACUAUCUAUUUUCCUUUGUAAAUUAGUAGUUGUCACAAAAGUUGUCACUCAAUUUAUUGUUCAAAUUACACACCUCUUUUCGAAUUAUGUAUGUGAUUGCUAUGAAGAUGUCAAAUUAAACAUUAGUUGUAACGCAAGUAUAAUAUUAGGCACAGAGAGUAGAGCACACAGUAACUAUAACAGUGCUUUUAAAGUUUUUCCUUAUGAAAUUUGUUGUGUUUCAUCACAUAAUGAAACUUUCAUCACAUAAUGACUCAAACUGGUACCAGUCCCUUUUGCUGCAAAUUAGUAUAAAGAUGAGAGUAAAACUGUGCCAUAAAGAUGCAUGAUUCUUAAGUGGCAAUUUCCAAAGCCAUCUUCAAGUAGUCUUUUUCAUUAGAGUUAGAGGCCAUCACCCGUAUAGUCAAUGCAGGUACUUCCAACUAAAUGCAAAUGGACACAACGACACGUUACGAUGUCGCCGCAUGGAUUCGGCAAUGCCCGUGAACAACGCAUACCGACUCUUGCACAUUGCCCUGCUUCAACGUUCUUAAUCUGGACAAUUACUGCAAAUGGCAAAGGAAGUUAAAGUUGGAACCAAUACACAUCUAUGCAUAUAACGUAUAUAUUUAGGAAAGUUUGGUAUUAAAUUGAGCAUGUAGUAUACUAAUUUUUUCAUAACAUAUAAAUAUAUCGGUGAGAAAGAUGAGCGCAAUGUUAAAAAAAAUAUACAUACAGCAGAAUUGCGUGAGCAUGAAAACAGCCAAAGUAGCAAGCUUAACAUAAGUCAUUGUUUGAUCAAAAGAAAGAAUAAGCUAAAAUUAUUUGAUAUGAACUUAGCUUAGUGUUGUAACAAUUUAUAGAGAGGUCUAUCUAUAUACUAGCAGACACUAUAGCUCCCUACGUUAAUUGUUAGGAAAAGUGAAAUGGCUAUAUUUAACAAUUUAUAGAGAGGUCCAUAUAUCAACUGACACUAUAGCUCCCUCAUGAAAUUAAAAUUGUUUCAUUCCCUUUCAUCAAAAAAUAAAUAAAUAUUCACUCCCGUACAAUAGUUGACAAUGUUUAUAUAAUUUCUUUUCGGCGUGUUUUCGUCUUAUAACUGAAAAGGCAAGGCUCGUGUUAACUGAAAAAGCAAGGCUUGUGAAUAAUGACAUUAUUUUUACCUUUUAACUAAAAAACAACCUUGUCAAAAAAAUAAUAUAAAAACAACCAUGUCAAAAAAAUAUAUAAAAACAACAUUCAAUCGAAUACAUCUAACGACACAAAUUCAAAAUCGUUAAAACAGAGCUCAAUCUUUGGUCAGAUUUUACUUGUCUUUUGGUCGAACUCAAACUAUCAAUGUCUCUUUUUCAUGUGAAUUGGAGGGUUGCACAAAAAAAAAAAUCAAUAAAACCAAAAAGAUGAAUUUACGAACUUAUUCACAACAUCCAGGUUAAUAAAAUAUUGCAGCGUAUAUGAAAGAUAAUAACUAGCAAAAAUGCUUUUGAUGAAUUAUAUGCUUAUUAUUAUUGAAUGUGAAAUAUCACCCCUUCUGCUUGGAAAUGUUGCUCUUCGUAUGAGUAACUUGCAGCCGAUCGAGAAUAAGUAGCUGUUGAUUGCUGUCGUGAGUGGUUAUCCCUCACUGUGUCUUUAGGUGCUCUGAUACGUAACGAGAUGAGAACUUUGUUGCAUGCUUUUCUAUUCCUUACGUAUUACUUUAAUGAUAUUCAUGAAUAAGUUGUUGAUUUAACUUUAUGAGAUGUUUAUGAUGAAGCCUUCGUGCCAAAGACUAUUUUAGAUGUUGAAAUAAAUUCCGCUACGAAAUAUUAAUUAUUAUGUUGUAGACUUUUGAAGAAAAAUUAGUUAAUUAUUCCAUUUAUGAUUUUUAAGAAGUGUCGCAUUCCGUUAAAGGUGUUUUACUCUGAUUUUUAUGAGAAAUUUUCAAGUUGGCAAAACGAGGUGUUACAAUUGGUAUCAGAGCAGGUCGGUCCGUCCGGCUAGGUAGUUGAGUCAUUUGUGUCGUGUGACAGUUGAAUAUUGUCGUUGUGUUUUUCUAAUUAACAGUUAUGCUUUAUUAUGUGAUCAUGUUUGACUGACUAGCUUUAUUGUGAUUUAUGUGUAUUGUUGAAGUUUCUAUUUUGUUAUACAUAGUUUAAGAUAUUUAAGCAAUAAUUAAAUUCAUUUUUCUCUUGUGCUUUGAAUUUCGAGUACGAAAAUCUUUUAAGGGGGGUAGAGCUGUAAUUCCAUCUUUAAUUAUUUAAUUAUUUUAUAGAGUUUAGAGUCCACUUUGAUGAUUUAUGUGAUGUGUUGAUAUUUUAUUUAAAGACUUAUUUUAUUAUUUACUAGAAUAAGAUUUGAAAAUAAAAUAAAUAUUGAGAUGUGGGAGAGAUAUAAGGAGGAAACUAGGUUUAAAUAGAGGAAAUAAGAUAAAGUGGAUUGAGGAGAGAUAUAAGGAGGAAACUAGGUUUAGAAAAGUUUUUACGUGAAACUGCUUUUUGGAGAAAAAGGGAGAAAACAAGAGAAGAGGAGAACCAAGAGGGAGAGAGACCGCUGACCAUCAAUACUGCGGUAAGGGUGGGAGUAACCUUCAAUAAUUCUAAGUAUGUGAUUCUGAAGAUGAAUUUAACAUGGUUGUAGGUUGAGGUUUUAGAAUUUGAGAGUUUAGAAUUAAAAGAUGAAAUUGAAAUUUGAGAAUUAAGGAAAACCAGUUUAGGUUUCGAAUUGAAUUUCUAGUCUUAAAAAGAGUGGAUAAUACAGUAGGUUGAUGAAUAAUUAGUGUUAUAAUGAUAGGGUGAUCAUAGGGUAAUGAUUAGGGUCAUGUUUGGAGAGUAUUGGAUCGAAAAAGGAGUCGAAAAGAUUUCCCCAAAGGCGAAAUCGCAGCUGAACUGGGAUUUUGUUGUCAGUGUGCAAAACACGUUUUUAUUGUCUCAGUUUGACAAGUUUAAGUUUCGAACUGGGUUUAGGUUCUUUCACGAAAGUUGUAGAUAUGGAUGUUAUCUGUCACUCGUGUUUGGAGGCACUCGAUUUAAGCACAUAGAACACAAGAUAUGAUCAAAUUACUACACAGGGGUCAGCAGGGAUCAGCACAGUCGUCCUCUUUUCCCGAGCAUAGGAAAAUCAACUUUUCUGGAAUUGUCUGUUCUGAAUUAGGUUUGGGAGUCUUCAUGAAAGUUGUAGAUAUGGUUGUUAGCUUUGAGUUGCUUUUGGUUGGACCCUAUUUAGAUUUUUAUAACUUUAGUUAGGAUUAAUAUACCGCACGUGGGUCAUGCUGCGUUUUCCAUGAAAUUUCAGCAUAACCCUCUCAGUGGACUCUAAAAUUCUAUGACAUCAUUAGUGAGUUUAAGCAAGCCAUUAGCGUGUAAAUUAAAAGUAAGAGUCCUUAAAAUAUAUACCUAGAUGAGGAAGUGUGUUUAGGCAUAAAUAGAAGUGAUUAGCUCAAGGUAAUAACAAGCUUAAAUAUGAACCAAAGAUAAUAUGGAUGAUGCUACGAGGAAUAUUAGUAGAGAGGUAAGCACUUAAAUUAGAAUAGAGAAUGGGGUAUACUAUCAGAAUGAAAGGUGUAGUAAUGGAGAGAACGAAAGACGAGAGUAGAUUCCAAAAUGUAGUAAUGAAUAACAAAGGAAUGUGAUGUGUACAUAUGCUCGUGUAAGAUGUUGUUUAAUGAUGAGAGAUUAAUGUUGUAUGAUGAAGAUCUACGUUGAGAUGAUAAUUAUUAAAUGAUGAUGAUGAAUGAUGUUUGUGAAUGACGAGUAAUAUCGAUGACGUAUCCUGUUUAGGUUUCUUGCGAUCUUCUGUCGCACGUGAUGUUAUGAGUCGACCCCUGGGGUAGGAAUGAAGUUGUUAAUGAUUAUAAUGAGGUUCAGAGAAGAUGAAUAAGAUGAUUAAUAUUGAUGAUUUACUUUGAUGAUUAAAUGUGAAAAUAUUUAUAUAUUGUGAAAGACGUUGAUAUGAAAUUGUAAUUGUUAUAUAUGUUGUUAUUAUUGAUGGUGACUUUCUGCAUACGUUUAAAUGGUGCUGUCUCGUUGUUGUGAUGAAUUAAUAUCAUUAAGAUGUCAACUUGUUAAGUUGUAAGAUGUUGAUCCAUAUUAUUUGAGUCAUAUGAGAUGUCUAAGUUGUUAAGUCGUAAGAUGUUGAGUCCAUUUCAUACUCAUUUAAGUUAAGGGCUUGAUGCCCUGUAAUGUAUAUUUAUACAUAUUAUGUUGAGGGCUUGAUGCCCUGUAAGUUGAGGGCUUGAUGCCCUGUGAGCCUAUUUACGCUUAUACGUUGAGGGCUUGAUACCCUGGUUGGUACCACAUGCAUGAUUAAGAAGUUGAAGUUGCAUAUGUUGAGUUCAAGUUGUAGAAGUCGCAUUGUCGUUGUCGUUAAGUUGUCAAUUGUCAAUGAGUUGUUAAUAAAGAACUAAGUGAAGUAUUAAUAUUUAUUAAUCGUGUUGUUUAUGUUAUUAUGUGAUGAUGAUUAUGUCGCGUUGUUUAUGUUAUUAUGAGAUAAUGAUUAUGUUGUGUUGUUUAUAUUAUUAUGGGAUGAUGAUUAUGUUGUGUUGUGUUGUUUAUGUUAUUAAUUGAUGAAGUUUAAGUUGUUAAAUGCUUAUGAUGAAUUAUAUGCUUAUUAUUAUUGAAUGUGAAAUCUCAUCUCCUCUGCUUGGAAAUGUUGCUCUUUGUAUAAGUAACUUGCAGGUGAUCGAGAAUAAGUAGCUGUUGAUCGCUGACGUGAGUGGUUAUCCCUCACUGUGUCUUUAGGUGCUCUGAUACGUAACGGGAUGAGAAAUUUGUUGCAUGCUUUUCUAUUCCUUACGUAUUACAUUAAGGAUAUUCAUGAAUAAGUUGUUGAUUUAACUUUAUGAGAUGUUUAUGAUGAUGCCUUCGUGCCAAAGACAAUUUUAGAUGUUGAAAUAAAUUCCGCUGCGAAGUAUUAAUUAUUAUGUUGUAGACUUUUGAAGGAAAAUUAGUUAAUUAUUCCAUUUCUGAAUUUUAAGAAGUGUAGCAUCCCGUUUAAGGUGUUUUACUCUGAUUUUUAUGAGAAAUUUUCAAGUUGGGAAAACGGGGUGUUACAGCAUUGGUUGUGCCAGUUUGUGCAGGAUUACUUGUGCUAGUUUGUGCAUCCUACAUUGUUUAACAUGUAAGUAUUGGUAAUUCUCGCCAGGUGGAAAACUUCUAUCAUCACCUGUUUUUCCCCCUCAUGUCCUUUGAUUAUGUCCAAGCUCUUUACACCUUCUACACCUCACAGUUUCCUGAUUUCUCUUGCCCUUCUAAAGCACUUAAUUUUUCCCUAUAGACCUUGAAAGGGCUCAAUAUCACAUUCCACCUAAUCUUACAGUGAUCUUUCAGAGCCUUAAGGGUCAUAGUAGGUGUAUACUUAAGUAUUGGAACCAGUUUUUUCCCAACAACUUCCCAUUUAACACUCUUUUACCAGUUGGAAAGUAAUUGUGAAUAGGCUUCAAGCUAGCAAGAACAUAAUGAGUUUGAGGAGGAACCUACUAAAUCUAAUAUGCUAUGGACAACUUGGAUAGCACUUGACCACAAUUCUUUUCUUCUCAUUCUUCUCGAGGUACACAUUCUUCUUGUUCUGCAAACCAUACUCUUUCACCUCAGUUUUAACUAAAAGACCAGUGGCAAAGAUCUGACCCUCCUCAAAUACUACAGGUUCAUUGUUAAUACCCAACUUAAACCUAUUCAGUUUCCUCCUUCUUCAUCUCUCUUCUUCCUCAGAUACAUCAAGACUUUCUAGUAUAUCUCAGACUUCAUCCUCAUCUUCAAAGUCUUCCAAACCAGUCACUUCAGGGUUCCUAGAUUGUUCAACACCAACUAAAGAUCGAUUAUGGUUAACUGAAUGACCACCAAGGGUUGGGUUCACAGUCUGGUUAGGCAAAACAAUGGUCCAAUCCCUGUCUUCAUCAAAAUCACUAUCAUCAACAAAUACCUCAUCUACACUUCCAUCCUCAUUUUCUAAUUCAUACUCAGGAACGUCUCCCUCCUCACAACCAUUGUAAUCAGGAUCAGACUCAUCUUAGUCUUCAUCAAUUUUAGCUGGUUUCUUCCCUUUGUCAAGUAUAACAACCUUUUCAACCUCACUAUCAUACCUGCUGUCAGUAACAUCCACAUAUUUGGCUUCAACAUAAAACUCAGCUCCUACUACAUUCUUAUAUUCAUUUACGAACCUAACAACAUCCCUAUCAGUUUUCAACAACCUUAGACCAUCAACUAUAUCAAAACCUGGACAUAUAUACGACAGCUUGUAGUCCUCUACCACCCCAAUCUCUCUGAUCAGUUUAUCUAAAUCUAUUAAGUUCACCUCAUCAGUGUUCCACUCACCACCAAAUUCAUGUAUUUCACCCUUCUUAUAAGCUACCACAGGGUCACAAAUGAAGUAACCCUUGUAGUGAAACCUUAUCUUGGAAUAGUGGUUCUUAACAACCCUAAAAAAGAAUGAAUAAAUGAUACAUAAUGUGUAUUUUUAUAUUGUAGUGAAACCUUGUAGUAACCCUUGUCUAAAUCUAUUAAGUAACCCUUGUAUUUUUAUAUUGUAUUGUAAUACUGUAUGUAACUGUAUACAUAAUGUGUAUCUAUACAGUAUACAUACGGUAUACUCAUACUCUAUACAUACUAGCUAUUCAUAAAGUACACAAAUACAUACAUUUGGUCAUACGAUUUUACACAUACAAAGGAGCUCUCACGUGCCAAAGCCUUUUAUAUUUUCUUUUUUCUUCUUUUUUUAAUUCAACUAAUUUCUGGCGUGGCGUAAAAUUAAAUAAAAAACCAAUAUAUACCGACACGGCCUGACAGCAUGUGCCAAAUCAUCGUUGAUUAGGUCAAAAUUAAUCAAAGGAUGAAAUUUGAAAUGAGGCUAAAUCAUAGGGGGCCAAAAUUACAAAUUUAGUUAAAAAUUUGUAUCAAAUCCAUCAUCUUAUAUUGUCGUAUUUUUGCUUAUAUGUUUAGACAAAGGGAAUAUGGGUUGACAUUAACUGUUCGUUCUCCUUUUUCUCUUAAAAUUUUAUAUCAAUAGUAAUUACCCUUUUACGGUCGGCCUCUAUUUGUUACACGGAUUGUUUUUAUAUUUCGUUCCAUAUAAAUAUGAAAUUUAAACAUUGCAAGAAUUAAAACACCAAUCAAAUUAUAGUGUUAAAUUAAAAGAACGAGUAAUGUACGAGUCAAAAUCACCACACCCAUGCACAUGCAUCAUUUAUUAAAAUCCAGACGGAUAUCGAAGAAAUACAAUUGAUCAAUUAGAAACAAGGUUGUUUUAUUUAAGGUCCAAUGGAUCCAAAUGUCCUUUAAGUUUUUCGUUUUUUUCAAGUUGGACUAUUAAGUUUCAAAAGUUUCAAAUAAGUCCUUUUAGUUUCUGAAACGUUUCAAAGUCAUAUAGUCAGCGUUUCAAUUGCUGUUUUUUUUUUUAGUGAACCAUCAAAUUCGUCCCUGAAUUUUCAUACGUCGGCCAACUUCGUCCCUCAAUUAUGAGAAAUAUCAACUUAGUCCCUGAAUUUGUCAGACGUCCAUCAAAAAGGUCCCUCCGUCCAAGUCCUCUGUUAGCCUUGCUGAUCUGUCGCCUUGCAUGCUGUGUUGUCUUGUACACGUGGCAAGAAGGAAGCCACGUGUUCACGGACUAAUUUGAUUGAAUUGGAAAAUGUUGAGUUUUCACUUUUCAGUUUAUUUUUUUCUCCAUUUCCCAUUUUGCCCCUGUAUUACCCAUACCUCCUUCUUCACAUUUCAGAACAUCAAAAACGUCCUUGACCCUUCUUCUUCUCGCUAAAACUUCCUCCAUUUUCACCCCUCCAAAAUCAUCAUCAUCUCCGUCGAUUCUGACAUUUUUGAAGUUUGUGUGUUCGGUUGUGAUUAAAGGUAAACGCCUUUCCUGUUGUUUAUCAAGUUUUGUGUUCGUAUUCACCCUGUUUUUGUCCGUUUUUUUUGGUGUUUUCGUUUUAAGUUUUGAUCAUGUUGUUUAUUUUGUUUUUGUGAUCGUUGAUGCUUGCGUUGUUCUUUGUUUGUGUUUGUUGCGUUUUUGAGACAGUUGUUUUGAUUAUUCGUUUUAGGGUUUUGGAAGUGAGGCUCAAGAAAGUCAGCCACAAGAAUAAUGUUGUGUCUGGGAAUGCAUAAACUACAGGAAAUGUUGUUGCAAAUGCUGGACAGGUAUGACUCUUAAUUUUUAAGGAUCGUUUUGGCAAUUAAUAAUAUUAAUUGAAGUACUCGUAUGAUUGAUUAUGUUAUGAUUUAGGGACUAAUUUGAUUGAAUUUACAAUUUCAGGUUUCUGCACCAAGGAGGUAUGGCCUUAGAGGACCAGUUCUUUCAGUUGAUAGGCCUAAGCAAACACCAAUGAGGGGUCCUGCACCAGCUCAUCUAACUCCUGCUGGCAUAAUUAGGGUUCCAUAUCCAAUCUAUGGUCCAUCCGGUUCGACCCAACCUACUAAAUUCAUGGAGUUUAUACCAACUACUGGAUUCCCAAAGAAGUGACGCUUCCUGGAGUUUAAUAGAUGUUUUUGAUUUGUAAUAUUUAGGCUUAUUUGAAUUAUGCCCCAUAGUUGGGUUUCUUUUUGCUUAAAUUGUCGUUUAAGACUUAUGACUUGUUAAUGCCUCAUAGUUGGGUUGCUUUUGCAUAUGUAAUUUCUCAGACUUAUGACUUAUAACCUAUGACUUAUGUCUAUGUAAUAUUUCAGUUUCAAUUUGUGUGUUCUGCCUUUUUUAGUUUAUUUUGUACACAUAUGUUUCAAGGAUCAAUUUGAUAUCUGAUUAAACAAUUCAGGGACUUAUUUGAUGGUUUUUUAUAUAACGUAGGGAUCUAUUUGAUAGAUAGAUAAAUAAUUCAGGGACUAAUUUGAUGGCAAUAUUAUUAUAGAAAGAUUACAUUUCUCAAUCAUCUUCAACCUCUUUUGAUUAGUUAAACCAACCUUUGGCAUAGGGCAAGCAUAGAAUGACCUUCCUGGGUUUUUUGAAGUAUUGGAUUUUCUAACAACACAAAUUGUAGGACACCAACAUUCAAGCACUCUCACAACACCAUUAAACUUGGAGCUUGAUGAUGAAGUUUGACUUUCAUAACCGUUUUUUCCCAUAUUCCCACCCCACAUCAUUUCAGAUUCAAUUCAAUAGUUUUGCUUCAAGAAAUUUUGAGGAUUUUGCCUUUUAGAUUCACUACGAAAAAAAUUAGGGUUUGAAGUUUUUUGAAUUGGGGCAGAACUGAACCACUUAUUAUUGGAGGAAAUGUUCAUGAUUAUAGAGUGUAGAUUGCAGAUUGUGUAAUUAGGGUUCCAAUUUUAUACAAUUGGGGAAGAAAGAGUUGUUGGGGAAGAAAAGAGCCAUUUGGGAAGAAAGCCAAAACAUUUUCUGCAAAUCAAUCAAUUUAGUCCUUCGAAAUGUUUGUUAUUAUCAGCCAAAUUAGUCCCUGCCUACGUGGCGUCUGACAUGUGAGAGGUUAACGGUCACGUUAGCCCCGUUAACGCUCCGUUUGAACAGAAGGACCAACUUGAUUGACAUUUAACAAAUUCAGGGAUUAAAUUGAUAUUUCGCAUAAUUGAGGGACGAAGUUGGCUGACCCGUGAAAAUUCAGGGACGAAGUUGACGAUCUACUCGUUUUUUUUUAGUUGAUAGAAAUUUUGAACUCAAUUUCGUUUUAAAUUGAUAGGAACACUUAAUUUUUUAUGAAAAUUAUCUUUCAUUCAUCACUAUUAUUUUGUUUUGCAUUUGGGUUUAUAUGUUUUUCGAAUGAGAAAUGAUAUUUUGACAACCAUUUUGUGACAACCUAUGUGACAACUUUAUCUCUCAUACUCACAUUAUUUUUUACUUUCUCUCUCUAUUAUUUUGGUUUCCGUGUCACUAUCUACUUUCCUUUGUAAAUUAGUAGUUGUCACAAAAGUUGUCACUCAAUUUAUUGUUCAAAUUACACACCUCUUUUCGAAUUAUGUAUGUGAUUGCUAUGAAGAUGUCAAAUUAAACAUUAGUUGUAACGCAAGUAUAAUAUUAGGCACAGAGAGUAGAGCACACAGUAACUAUAACAGUGCUUUUAAAGUUUUUCCUUAUGAAAUUUGUUGUGUUUCAUCACAUAAUGAAACUUUCAUCACAUAAUGACUCAAACUGGUACCAGUCCCUUUUGCUGCAAAUUAGUAUAAAGAUGAGAGUAAAACUGUGCCAUAAAGAUGCAUGAUUCUUAAGUGGCAAUUUCCAAAGCCAUCUUCAAGUAGUCUUUUUCAUUAGAGUUAGAGGCCAUCACCCGUAUAGUCAAUGCAGGUACUUCCAACUAAAUGCAAAUGGACACAACGACACGUUACGAUGUCGCCGCAUGGAUUCGGCAAUGCCCGUGAACAACGCAUACCGACUCUUGCACAUUGCCCUGCUUCAACGUUCUUAAUCUGGACAAUUACUGCAAAUGGCAAAGGAAGUUAAAGUUGGAACCAAUACACAUCUAUGCAUAUAACGUAUAUAUUUAGGAAAGUUUGGUAUUAAAUUGAGCAUGUAGUAUACUAAUUUUUUCAUAACAUAUAAAUAUAUCGGUGAGAAAGAUGAGCGCAAUGUUAAAAAAAAAUAUACAUACAGCAGAAUUGCGUGAGCAUGAAAACAGCCAAAGUAGCAAGCUUAACAUAAGUCAUUGUUUGAUCAAAAGAAAGAAUAAGCUAAAAUUAUUUGAUAUGAACUUAGCUUAGUGUUGUAACAAUUUAUAGAGAGGUCUAUCUAUAUACUAGCAGACACUAUAGCUCCCUACGUUAAUUGUUAGGAAAAGUGAAAUGGCUAUAUUUAACAAUUUAUAGAGAGGUCCAUAUAUCAACUGACACUAUAGCUCCCUCAUGAAAUUAAAAUUGUUUCAUUCCCUUUCAUCAAAAAAUAAAUAAAUAUUCACUCCCGUACAAUAGUUGACAAUGUUUAUAUAAUUUCUUUUCGGCGUGUUUUCGUCUUAUAACUGAAAAGGCAAGGCUCGUGUUAACUGAAAAAGCAAGGCUUGUGAAUAAUGACAUUAUUUUUACCUUUUAACUAAAAAACAACCUUGUCAAAAAAAUAAUAUAAAAACAACCAUGUCAAAAAAAAUAUAUAAAAACAACAUUCAAUCGAAUACAUCUAACGACACAAAUUCAAAAUCGUUAAAACAGAGCUCAAUCUUUGGUCAGAUUUUACUUGUCUUUUGGUCGAACUCAAACUAUCAAUGUCUCUUUUUCAUGUGAAUUGGAGGGUUGCACAAAAAAAAAAAUCAAUAAAACCAAAAAAGAUGAAUUUACGAACUUAUUCACAACAUCCAGGUUAAUAAAAUAUUGCAGCGUAUAUGAAAGAUAAUAACUAGCAAAAAUGCUUUUGAUGAAUUAUAUGCUUAUUAUUAUUGAAUGUGAAAUAUCACCCCUUCUGCUUGGAAAUGUUGCUCUUCGUAUGAGUAACUUGCAGCCGAUCGAGAAUAAGUAGCUGUUGAUUGCUGUCGUGAGUGGUUAUCCCUCACUGUGUCUUUAGGUGCUCUGAUACGUAACGAGAUGAGAACUUUGUUGCAUGCUUUUCUAUUCCUUACGUAUUACUUUAAUGAUAUUCAUGAAUAAGUUGUUGAUUUAACUUUAUGAGAUGUUUAUGAUGAAGCCUUCGUGCCAAAGACUAUUUUAGAUGUUGAAAUAAAUUCCGCUACGAAAUAUUAAUUAUUAUGUUGUAGACUUUUGAAGAAAAAUUAGUUAAUUAUUCCAUUUAUGAUUUUUAAGAAGUGUCGCAUUCCGUUUAAGGUGUUUUACUCUGAUUUUUAUGAGAAAUUUUCAAGUUGGCAAAACGAGGUGUUACAAUUGGUAUCAGAGCAGGUCGGUCCGUCCGGCUAGGUAGUUGAGUCAUUUGUGUCGUGUGACAGUUGAAUAUUGUCGUUGUGUUUUUCUAAUUAACAGUUAUGCUUUAUUAUGUGAUCAUGUUUGACUGACUAGCUUUAUUGUAAUUUAUGUGUAUUGUUGAAGUUUCUAUUUUGUUAUACAUAGUUUAAGAUAUUUAAGCAAUAAUUAAAUUCAUUUUUCUCUUGUGCUUUGAAUUUCGAGUACGAAAUUCUUUUAAGGGGGGUAGAGUUGUAAUUCCCUCUUUAAUUAUUUAAUUAUUUUAUAGAGUUUAGAGUCCACUUUGAUGAUUUAUGUGAUGUGUUGAUAUUUUAUUUAAAGACUUAUUUUAUUAUUUACUAGAAUAAGAUUUGAAAAUAAAAUAAAUAUUGAGAUGUGAGAGAGAUAUAAGGAGGAAACUAGGUUUAAAUAGAGGAAAUAAGAUAAAGUGGAUUGAGGAGAGAUAUAAGGAGGAAACUAGGUUUAGAAAAGUUUUUACGUGAAACUGCUUUUUGGAGAAAAAGGGAGAAAACAAGAGAAGAGGAGAACCAACAGGGAGAGAGACCGCUGACCAUCAAUACUACGGUAAGGGUGGGAGUAACCUUCAAUAAUUCUAAGUAUGUGAUUCUGAAGAUGAAUUUAACAUGGUUGUAGGUUGAGGUUUUAGAAUUUGAGAGUUUAGAAUUAAAAGAUGAAAUUGAAAUUUGAGAAUUAAGGAAAACCAGUUUAGGUUUCGAAUUGAAUUUCUAGUCUUAAAAAGAGUGGAUAAUACAGUAGGUUGAUGAAUAAUUAGUGUUAUAAUGAUAGGGUGAUCAUAGGGUAAUGAUUAGGGUCAUGUUUGGAGAGUAUUGGAUCGAAAAAGGAGUCGAAAAGAUUUCCCCAAAGGCGAAAUCGCAGCUGAACUGGGAUUUUGUUGUCAGUGUGCAAAACACGUUUUUAUUGUCUCAGUUUGACAAGUUUAAGUUUCGAACUGGGUUUAGGUUCUUUCACGAAAGUUGUAGAUAUGGAUGUUAUCUGUCACUCGUGUUUGGAGGCACUCGAUUUAAGCACAUAGAACACAAGAUAUGAUCAAAUUACUACACAGGGGUCAGCAGGGAUCAGCACAGUCGUCCUCUUUUCCCGAGCAUAGGAAAAUCAACUUUUCUGGAAUUGUCUGUUCUGAAUUAGGUUUGGGAGUCUUCAUGAAAGUUGUAGAUAUGGUUGUUAGCUUUGAGUUGCUUUUGGUUGGACCCUAUUUAGAUUUUUAUAACUUUAGUUAGGAUUAAUAUACCGCACGUGGGUCAUGCUGCGUUUUCCAUGAAAUUUCAGCAUAACCCUCUCAGUGGACUCUAAAAUUCUAUGACAUCAUUAGUGAGUUUAAGCAAGCCAUUAGCGUGUAAAUUAAAAGUAAGAGUCCUUAAAAUAUAUACCUAGAUGAGGAAGUGUGUUUAGGCAUAAAUAGAAGUGAUUAGCUCAAGGUAAUAACAAGCUUAAAUAUGAACCAAAGAUAAUAUGGAUGAUGCUACGAGGAAUAUUAGUAGAGAGGUAAGCACUUAAAUUAGAAUAGAGAAUGGGGUAUACUAUCAGAAUGAAAGGUGUAGUAAUGGAGAGAACGAAAGACGAGAGUAGAUUCCAAAAUGUAGUAAUGAAUAACAAAGGAAUGUGAUGUGUACAUAUGCUCGUGUAAGAUGUUGUUUAAUGAUGAGAGAUUAAUGUUGUAUGAUGAAGAUCUACGUUGAGAUGAUAAUUAUUAAAUGAUGAUGAUGAAUGAUGUUUGUGAAUGACGAGUAAUAUCGAUGACGUAUCCUGUUUAGGUUUCUUGCGAUCUUCUGUCGCACGUGAUGUUAUGAGUCGACCCCUGGGGUAGGAAUGAAGUUGUUAAUGAUUAUAAUGAGGUUCAGAGAAGAUGAAUAAGAUGAUUAAUAUUGAUGAUUUACUUUGAUGAUUAAAUGUGAAAAUAUUUAUAUAUUGUGAAAGACGUUGAUAUGAAAUUGUAAUUGUUAUAUAUGUUGUUAUUAUUGAUGGUGACUUUCUGCAUACGUUUAAAUGGUGCUGUCUCGUUGUUGUGAUGAAUUAAUAUCAUUAAGAUGUCAACUUGUUAAGUUGUAAGAUGUUGAUCCAUAUUAUUUGAGUCAUAUGAGAUGUCUAAGUUGUUAAGUCGUAAGAUGUUGAGUCCAUUUCAUACUCAUUUAAGUUAAGGGCUUGAUGCCCUGUAAUGUAUAUUUAUACAUAUUAUGUUGAGGGCUUGAUGCCCUGUAAGUUGAGGGCUUGAUGCCCUGUGAGCCUAUUUACGCUUAUACGUUGAGGGCUUGAUACCCUGGUUGGUACCACAUGCAUGAUUAAGAAGUUGAAGUUGCAUAUGUUGAGUUCAAGUUGUAGAAGUCGCAUUGUCGUUGUCGUUAAGUUGUCAAUUGUCAAUGAGUUGUUAAUAAAGAACUAAGUGAAGUAUUAAUAUUUAUUAAUCGUGUUGUUUAUGUUAUUAUGAGAUGAUGAUUAUGUCGCGUUGUUUAUGUUAUUAUGAGAUAAUGAUUAUGUUGUGUUGUUUAUAUUAUUAUGGGAUGAUGAUUAUGUUGUGUUGUGUUGUUUAUGUUAUUAAUUGAUGAAGUUUAAGUUGUUAAAUGCUUAUGAUGAAUUAUAUGCUUAUUAUUAUUGAAUGUGAAAUCUCAUCUCCUCUGCUUGGAAAUGUUGCUCUUUGUAUAAGUAACUUGCAGGUGAUCGAGAAUAAGUAGCUGUUGAUCGCUGACGUGAGUGGUUAUCCCUCACUGUGUCUUUAGGUGCUCUGAUACGUAACGGGAUGAGAAAUUUGUUGCAUGCUUUUCUAUUCCUUACGUAUUACAUUAAGGAUAUUCAUGAAUAAGUUGUUGAUUUAACUUUAUGAGAUGUUUAUGAUGAUGCCUUCGUGCCAAAGACAAUUUUAGAUGUUGAAAUAAAUUCCGCUGCGAAGUAUUAAUUAUUAUGUUGUAGACUUUUGAAGGAAAAUUAGUUAAUUAUUCCAUUUCUGAAUUUUAAGAAGUGUAGCAUCCCGUUUAAGGUGUUUUACUCUGAUUUUUAUGAGAAAUUUUCAAGUUGGGAAAACGGGGUGUUACAGCAUUGGUUGUGCCAGUUUGUGCAGGAUUACUUGUGCUAGUUUGUGCAUCCUACAUUGUUUAACAUGUAAGUAUUGGUAAUUCUCGCCAGGUGGAAAACUUCUAUCAUCACCUGUUUUUCCCCCUCAUGUCCUUUGAUUAUGUCCAAGCUCUUUACACCUUCUACACCUCACAGUUUCCUGAUUUCUCUUGCCCUUCUAAAGCACUUAAUUUUUCCCUAUAGACCUUGAAAGGGCUCAAUAUCACAUUCCACCUAAUCUUACAGUGAUCUUUCAGAGCCUUAAGGGUCAUAGUAGGUGUAUACUUAAGUAUUGGAACCAGUUUUUUCCCAACAACUUCCCAUUUAACACUCUUUUACCAGUUGGAAAGUAAUUGUGAAUAGGCUUCAAGCUAGCAAGAACAUAAUGAGUUUGAGGAGGAACCUACUAAAUCUAAUAUGCUAUGGACAACUUGGAUAGCACUUGACCACAAUUCUUUUCUUCUCAUUCUUCUCGAGGUACACAUUCUUCUUGUUCUGCAAACCAUACUCUUUCACCUCAGUUUUAACUAAAAGACCAGUGGCAAAGAUCUGACCCUCCUCAAAUACUACAGGUUCAUUGUUAAUACCCAACUUAAACCUAUUCAGUUUCCUCCUUCUUCAUCUCUCUUCUUCCUCAGAUACAUCAAGACUUUCUAGUAUAUCUCAGACUUCAUCCUCAUCUUCAAAGUCUUCCAAACCAGUCACUUCAGGGUUCCUAGAUUGUUCAACACCAACUAAAGAUCGAUUAUGGUUAACUGAAUGACCACCAAGGGUUGGGUUCACAGUCUGGUUAGGCAAAACAAUGGUCCAAUCCCUGUCUUCAUCAAAAUCACUAUCAUCAACAAAUACCUCAUCUACACUUCCAUCCUCAUUUUCUAAUUCAUACUCAGGAACGUCUCCCUCCUCACAACCAUUGUAAUCAGGAUCAGACUCAUCUUAGUCUUCAUCAAUUUUAGCUGGUUUCUUCCCUUUGUCAAGUAUAACAACCUUUUCAACCUCACUAUCAUACCUGCUGUCAGUAACAUCCACAUAUUUGGCUUCAACAUAAAACUCAGCUCCUACUACAUUCUUAUAUUCAUUUACGAACCUAACAACAUCCCUAUCAGUUUUCAACAACCUUAGACCAUCAACUAUAUCAAAACCUGGACAUAUAUACGACAGCUUGUAGUCCUCUACCACCCCAAUCUCUCUGAUCAGUUUAUCUAAAUCUAUUAAGUUCACCUCAUCAGUGUUCCACUCACCACCAAAUUCAUGUAUUUCACCCUUCUUAUAAGCUACCACAGGGUCACAAAUGAAGUAACCCUUGUAGUGAAACCUUAUCUUGGAAUAGUGGUUCUUAACAACCCUAAAAAAGAAUGAAUAAAUGAUACAUAAUGUGUAUUUUUAUAUUGUAGUGAAACCUUGUAGUAACCCUUGUCUAAAUCUAUUAAGUAACCCUUGUAUUUUUAUAUUGUAUUGUAAUACUGUAUGUAACUGUAUACAUAAUGUGUAUCUAUACAGUAUACAUACGGUAUACUCAUACUCUAUACAUACUGGCUAUUCAUAAAGUACACAAAUACAUACAUUUGGUCAUACGAUUUUACACAUACAAAGGAGCUCUCACGUGCCAAAGCCUUUUAUAUUUUCUUUUUUCUUCUUUUUUUAAUUCAACUAAUUUCUGGCGUGGCGUAAAAUUAAAUAAAAAACCAAUAUAUACCGACACGGCCUGACAGCAUGUGCCAAAUCAUCGUUGAUUAGGUCAAAAUUAAUCAAAGGAUAAAAUUUGAAAUGAGGCUAAAUCAUAGGGGGCCAAAAUUACAAAUUUAGUUAAAAAUUUGUAUCAAAUCCAUCAUCUUAUAUUGUCGUAUUUUUGCUUAUAUGUUUAGACAAAGGGAAUAUGGGUUGACAUUAACUGUUCGUUCUCCUUUUUCUCUUAAAAUUUUAUAUCAAUAGUAAUUACCCUUUUACGGUCGGCCUCUAUUUGUUACACGGAUUGUUUUUAUAUUUCGUUCCAUAUAAAUAUGAAAUUUAAACAUUGCAAGAAUUAAAACACCAAUCAAAUUAUAGUGUUAAAUUAAAAGAACGAGUAAUGUACGAGUCAAAAUCACCACACCCAUGCACAUGCAUCAUUUAUUAAAAUCCAGACGGAUAUCGAAGAAAUACAAUUGAUCAAUUAGAAACAAGGUUGUUUUAUUUAAGGUCCAAUGGAUCCAAAUGUCCUUUAAGUUUUUCGUUUUUUUCAAGUUGGACUAUUAAGUUUCAAAAGUUUCAAAUAAGUCCUUUUAGUUUCUGAAACGUUUCAAAGUCAUAUAGUCAGCGUUUCAAUUGCUGUUUUUUUUUUUAGUGAACCAUCAAAUUCGUCCCUGAAUUUUCACACGUCGGCCAACUUCGUCCCUCAAUUAUGAGAAAUAUCAACUUAGUCCCUGAAUUUGUCAGACGUCCAUCAAAAAGGUCCCUCCGUCCAAGUCCUCAGUUAGCCUUGCUGAUCUGUCGCCUUGCAUGCUGUGUUGUCUUGUACACGUGGCAAGAAGGAAGCCACGUGUUCACGGACUAAUUUGAUUGAAUUGGAAAAUGUUGAGUUUUCACUUUUCAGUUUAUUUUUUUCUCCAUUUCCCAUUUUGCCCCUGUAUUACCCAUACCUCCUUCUUCACAUUUCAGAACAUCAAAAACGUCCUUGACCCUUCUUCUUCUCGCUAAAACUUCCUCCAUUUUCACCCCUCCAAAAUCAUCAUCAUCUCCGUCGAUUCUGACAUUUUUGAAGUUUGUGUGUUCGGUUGUGAUUAAAGGUAAACGCCUUUCCUGUUGUUUAUCAAGUUUUUGUGUUCGUAUUCACCCUGUUUUUGUCCGUUUUUUUUGGUGUUUUCGUUUUAAGUUUUGAUCAUGUUGUUUAUUUUGUUUUUGUGAUCGUUGAUGCUUGCGUUAUUCUUUGUUUGUGUUUGUUGCGUUUUUGAGACAGUUGUUUUGAUUAUUCGUUUUAGGGUUUUGGAAGUGAGGCUCAAGAAAGUCAGCCACAAGAAUAAUGUUGUGUCUGGGAAUGCAUAAACUACAGGAAAUGUUGUUGCAAAUGCUGGACAGGUAUGACUCUUAAUUUUUAAGGAUCGUUUUGGCAAUUAAUAAUAUUAAUUGAAGUACUCGUAUGAUUGAUUAUGUUAUGAUUUAGGGACUAAUUUGAUUGAAUUUACAAUUUCAGGUUUCUGCACCAAGGAGGUAUGGCCUUAGAGGACCAGUUCUUUCAGUUGAUAGGCCUAAGCAAACACCAAUGAGGGGUCCUGCACCAGCUCAUCUAACUCCUGCUGGCAUAAUUAGGGUUCCAUAUCCAAUCUAUGGUCCAUCCGGUUCGACCCAACCUACUAAAUUCAUGGAGUUUAUACCAACUACUGGAUUCCCAAAGAAGUGACGCUUCCUGGAGUUUAAUAGAUGUUUUUGAUUUGUAAUAUUUAGGCUUAUUUGAAUUAUGCCCCAUAGUUGGGUUUCUUUUUGCUUAAAUUGUCGUUUAAGACUUAUGACUUGUUAAUGCCUCAUAGUUGGGUUGCUUUUGCAUAUGUAAUUUCUCAGACUUAUGACUUAUAACCUAUGACUUAUGUCUAUGUAAUAUUUCAGUUUCAAUUUGUGUGUUCUGCCUUUUUUAGUUUAUUUUGUACACAUAUGUUUCAAGGAUCAAUUUGAUAUCUGAUUAAACAAUUCAGGGACUUAUUUGAUGGUUUUUUAUAUAACGUAGGGAUCUAUUUGAUAGAUAGAUAAAUAAUUCAGGGACUAAUUUGAUGGCAAUAUUAUUAUAGAAAGAUUACAUUUCUCAAUCAUCUUCAACCUCUUUUGAUUAGUUAAACCAACCUUUGGCAUAGGGCAAGCAUAGAAUGACCUUCCUGGGUUUUUUGAAGUAUUGGAUUUUCUAACAACACAAAUUGUAGGACACCAACAUUCAAGCACUCUCACAACACCAUUAAACUUGGAGCUUGAUGAUGAAGUUUGACUUUCAUAACCGUUUUUUCCCAUAUUCCCACCCCACAUCAUUUCAGAUUCAAUUCAAUAGUUUUGUUUCAAGAAAUUUUGAGGAUUUUGCCUUUUAGAUUCACUACGAAAAAAAUUAGGGUUUGAAGUUUUUUGAAUUGGGGCAGAACUGAACCACUUAUUAUUGGAGGAAAUGUUCAUGAUUAUAGAGUGUAGAUUGCAGAUUGUGUAAUUAGGGUUCCAAUUUUAUACAAUUGGGGAAGAAAGAGUUGUUGGGGAAGAAAAGAGCCAUUUGGGAAGAAAGCCAAAACAUUUUCUGCAAAUCAAUCAAUUUAGUCCUUCGAAAUGUUUGUUAUUAUCAGCCAAAUUAGUCCCUGCCUACGUGGCGUCUGACAUGUGAGAGGUUAACGGUCAUGUUAGCCCCGUUAACGCUCCGUUUGAACAGAAGGACCAACUUGAUUGACAUUUAACAAAUUCAGGGAUUAAAUUGAUAUUUCGCAUAAUUGAGGGACGAAGUUGGCUGACCCGUGAAAAUUCAGGGACGAAGUUGAUGAUCUACUCGUUUUUUUUUAGUUGAUAGAAAUUUUGAACUCAAUUUCGUUUUAAAUUGAUAGGAACACUUAAUUUUUUAUGAAAAUUAUCUUUCAUUCAUCACUAUUAUUUUGUUUUGCAUUUGGGUUUAUAUGUUUUUCGAAUGAGAAAUGAUAUUUUGACAACCAUUUUGUGACAACCUAUGUGACAACUUUAUCUCUCAUACUCACAUUAUUUUUUACUUUCUCUCUCUAUUAUUUUGGUUUCCGUGUCACUAUCUACUUUCCUUUGUAAAUUAGUAGUUGUCACAAAAGUUGUCACUCAAUUUAUUGUUCAAAUUACACACCUCUUUUCGAAUUAUGUAUGUGAUUGCUAUGAAGAUGUCAAAUUAAACAUUAGUUGUAACGCAAGUAUAAUAUUAGGCACAGAGAGUAGAGCACACAGUAACUAUAACAGUGCUUUUAAAGUUUUUCCUUAUGAAAUUUGUUGUGUUUCAUCACAUAAUGAAACUUUCAUCACAUAAUGACUCAAACUGGUACCAGUCCCUUUUGCUGCAAAUUAGUAUAAAGAUGAGAGUAAAACUGUGCCAUAAAGAUGCAUGAUUCUUAAGUGGCAAUUUCCAAAGCCAUCUUCAAGUAGUCUUUUUCAUUAGAGUUAGAGGCCAUCACCCGUAUAGUCAAUGCAGGUACUUCCAACUAAAUGCAAAUGGACACAACGACACGUUACGAUGUCGCCGCAUGGAUUCGGCAAUGCCCGUGAACAACGCAUACCGACUCUUGCACAUUGCCCUGCUUCAACGUUCUUAAUCUGGACAAUUACUGCAAAUGGCAAAGGAAGUUAAAGUUGGAACCAAUACACAUCUAUGCAUAUAACGUAUAUAUUUAGGAAAGUUUGGUAUUAAAUUGAGCAUGUAGUAUACUAAUUUUUUCAUAACAUAUAAAUAUAUCGGUGAGAAAGAUGAGCGCAAUGUUAAAAAAAAAUAUACAUACAGCAGAAUUGCGUGAGCAUGAAAACAGCCAAAGUAGCAAGCUUAACAUAAGUCAUUGUUUGAUCAAAAGAAAGAAUAAGCUAAAAUUAUUUGAUAUGAACUUAGCUUAGUGUUGUAACAAUUUAUAGAGAGGUCUAUCUAUAUACUAGCAGACACUAUAGCUCCCUACGUUAAUUGUUAGGAAAAGUGAAAUGGCUAUAUUUAACAAUUUAUAGAGAGGUCCAUAUAUCAACUGACACUAUAGCUCCCUCAUGAAAUUAAAAUUGUUUCAUUCCCUUUCAUCAAAAAAUAAAUAAAUAUUCACUCCCGUACAAUAGUUGACAAUGUUUAUAUAAUUUCUUUUCGGCGUGUUUUCGUCUUAUAACUGAAAAGGCAAGGCUCGUGUUAACUGAAAAAGCAAGGCUUGUGAAUAAUGACAUUAUUUUUACCUUUUAACUAAAAAACAACCUUGUCAAAAAAAUAAUAUAAAAACAACCAUGUCAAAAAAAAUAUAUAAAAACAACAUUCAAUCGAAUACAUCUAACGACACAAAUUCAAAAUCGUUAAAACAGAGCUCAAUCUUUGGUCAGAUUUUACUUGUCUUUUGGUCGAACUCAAACUAUCAAUGUCUCUUUUUCAUGUGAAUUGGAGGGUUGCACAAAAAAAAAAAUCAAUAAAACCAAAAAAGAUGAAUUUACGAACUUAUUCACAACAUCCAGGUUAAUAAAAUAUUGCAGCGUAUAUGAAAGAUAAUAACUAGCAAAAAUGCUUUUGAUGAAUUAUAUGCUUAUUAUUAUUGAAUGUGAAAUAUCACCCCUUCUGCUUGGAAAUGUUGCUCUUCGUAUGAGUAACUUGCAGCCGAUCGAGAAUAAGUAGCUGUUGAUUGCUGUCGUGAGUGGUUAUCCCUCACUGUGUCUUUAGGUGCUCUGAUACGUAACGAGAUGAGAACUUUGUUGCAUGCUUUUCUAUUCCUUACGUAUUACUUUAAUGAUAUUCAUGAAUAAGUUGUUGAUUUAACUUUAUGAGAUGUUUAUGAUGAAGCCUUCGUGCCAAAGACUAUUUUAGAUGUUGAAAUAAAUUCCGCUACGAAAUAUUAAUUAUUAUGUUGUAGACUUUUGAAGAAAAAUUAGUUAAUUAUUCCAUUUAUGAUUUUUAAGAAGUGUCGCAUUCCGUUUAAGGUGUUUUACUCUGAUUUUUAUGAGAAAUUUUCAAGUUGGCAAAACGAGGUGUUACAAUUGGUAUCAGAGCAGGUCGGUCCGUCCGGCUAGGUAGUUGAGUCAUUUGUGUCGUGUGACAGUUGAAUAUUGUCGUUGUGUUUUUCUAAUUAACAGUUAUGCUUUAUUAUGUGAUCAUGUUUGACUGACUAGCUUUAUUGUGAUUUAUGUGUAUUGUUGAAGUUUCUAUUUUGUUAUACAUAGUUUAAGAUAUUUAAGCAAUAAUUAAAUUCAUUUUUCUCUUGUGCUUUGAAUUUCGAGUACGAAAUUCUUUUAAGGGGGGUAGAGCUGUAAUUCCCUCUUUAAUUAUUUAAUUAUUUUAUAGAGUUUAGAGUCCACUUUGAUGAUUUAUGUGAUGUGUUGAUAUUUUAUUUAAAGACUUAUUUUAUUAUUUACUAGAAUAAGAUUUGAAAAUAAAAUAAAUAUUGAGAUGUGGGAGAGAUAUAAGGAGGAAACUAGGUUUAAAUAGAGGAAAUAAGAUAAAGUGGAUUGAGGAGAGAUAUAAGGAGGAAACUAGGUUUAGAAAAGUUUUUACGUGAAACUGCUUUUUGGAGAAAAAGGGAGAAAACAAGAGAAGAGGAGAACCAAGAGGGAGAGAGACCGCUGACCAUCAAUACUGCGGUAAGGGUGGGAGUAACCUUCAAUAAUUCUAAGUAUGUGAUUCUGAAGAUGAAUUUAACAUGGUUGUAGGUUGAGGUUUUAGAAUUUGAGAGUUUAGAAUUAAAAGAUGAAAUUGAAAUUUGAGAAUUAAGGAAAACCAGUUUAGGUUUCGAAUUGAAUUUCUAGUCUUAAAAAGAGUGGAUAAUACAGUAGGUUGAUGAAUAAUUAGUGUUAUAAUGAUAGGGUGAUCAUAGGGUAAUGAUUAGGGUCAUGUUUGGAGAGUAUUGGAUCGAAAAAGGAGUCGAAAAGAUUUCCCCAAAGGCGAAAUCGCAGCUGAACUGGGAUUUUGCUGUCAGUGUGCAAAACACGUUUUUAUUGUCUCAGUUUGACAAGUUUAAGUUUCGAACUGGGUUUAGGUUCUUUCACGAAAGUUGUAGAUAUGGAUGUUAUCUGUCACUCGUGUUUGGAGGCACUCGAUUUAAGCACAUAGAAUACAAGAUAUGAUCAAAUUACUACACAGGGGUCAGCAGGGAUCAGCACAGUCGUCCUCUUUUCCCGAGCAUAGGAAAAUCAACUUUUCUGGAAUUGUCUGUUCUGAAUUAGGUUUGGGAGUCUUCAUGAAAGUUGUAGAUAUGGUUGUUAGCUUUGAGUUGCUUUUGGUUGGACCCUAUUUAGAUUUUUAUAACUUUAGUUAGGAUUAAUAUACCGCACGUGGGUCAUGCUGCGUUUUCCAUGAAAUUUCAGCAUAACCCUCUCAGUGGACUCUAAAAUUCUAUGACAUCAUUAGUGAGUUUAAGCAAGCCAUUAGCGUGUAAAUUAAAAGUAAGAGUCCUUAAAAUAUAUACCUAGAUGAGGAAGUGUGUUUAGGCAUAAAUAGAAGUGAUUAGCUCAAGGUAAUAACAAGCUUAAAUAUGAACCAAAGAUAAUAUGGAUGAUGCUACGAGGAAUAUUAGUAGAGAGGUAAGCACUUAAAUUAGAAUAGAGAAUGGGGUAUACUAUCAGAAUGAAAGGUGUAGUAAUGGAGAGAACGAAAGACGAGAGUAGAUUCCAAAAUGUAGUAAUGAAUAACAAAGGAAUGUGAUGUGUACAUAUGCUCGUGUAAGAUGUUGUUUAAUGAUGAGAGAUUAAUGUUGUAUGAUGAAGAUCUACGUUGAGAUGAUAAUUAUUAAAUGAUGAUGAUGAAUGAUGUUUGUGAAUGAUGAGUAAUAUCGAUGACGUAUCCUGUUUAGGUUUCUUGCGAUCUUCUGUCGCACGUGAUGUUAUGAGUCGACCCCUGGGGUAGGAAUGAAGUUGUUAAUGAUUAUAAUGAGGUUCAGAGAAGAUGAAUAAGAUGAUUAAUAUUGAUGAUUUACUUUGAUGAUUAAAUGUGAAAAUAUUUAUAUAUUAUGAAAGACGUUGAUAUGAAAUUGUAAUUGUUAUAUAUGAUGUUAUUAUUGAUGGUGACUUUCUGCAUACGUUUAAAUGGUGCUGUCUCGUUGUUGUGAUGAAUUAAUAUCAUUAAGAUGUCAACUUGUUAAGUUGUAAGAUGUUGAUCCAUAUUAUUUGAGUCAUAUGAGAUGUCUAAGUUGUUAAGUCGUAAGAUGUUGAGUCCAUUUCAUACUCAUUUAAGUUAAGGGCUUGAUGCCCUGUAAUGUAUAUUUAUACAUAUUAUGUUGAGGGCUUGAUGCCCUGUAAGUUGAGGGCUUGAUGCCCUGUGAGCCUAUUUACGCUUAUACGUUGAGGGCUUGAUACCCUGGUUGGUACCACAUGCAUGAUUAAGAAGUUGAAGUUGCAUAUGUUGAGUUCAAGUUGUAGAAGUCGCAUUGUCGUUGUCGUUAAGUUGUCAAUUGUCAAUGAGUUGUUAAUAAAGAACUAAGUGAAGUAUUAAUAUUUAUUAAUCGUGUUGUUUAUGUUAUUAUGAGAUGAUGAUUAUGUCGCGUUGUUUAUGUUAUUAUGAGAUAAUGAUUAUGUUGUGUUGUGUUAUUUAUGUAAUUAAUUGAUGAAGUUUAAGUUGUUAAAUGCUUAUGAUGAAUUAUAUGCUUAUUAUUAUUGAAUGUGAAAUCUCAUCUCCUCUGAUUGGAAAUGUUGCUCUUUGUAUAAGUAACUUGCAGGUGAUCGAGAAUAAGUAGUUGUUGAUCGCUGACGUGAGUGGUUAUCCCUCACUGUGUCUUUAGGUGCUCUGAUACGUAACGGGAUGAGAAAUUUGUUGCAUGCUUUUCUAUUCCUUACGUAUUACAUUAAGGAUAUUCAUGAAUAAGUUGUUGAUUUAACUUUAUGAGAUGUUUAUGAUGAUGCCUUCGUGCCAAAGACAAUUUUAGAUGUUGAAAUAAAUUCCGCUGCGAAGUAUUAAUUAUUAUGUUGUAGACUUUUGAAGGAAAAUUAGUUAAUUAUUCCAUUUCUGAAUUUUAAGAAGUGUAGCAUCCCGUUUAAGGUGUUUUACUCUGAUUUUUAUGAGAAAUUUUCAAGUUGGGAAAACGGGGUGUUACAGCAUUGGUUGUGCCAGUUUGUGCAGGAUUACUUGUGCUAGUUUGUGCAUCCUACAUUGUUUAACAUGUAAGUAUUGGUAAUUCUCGCCAGGUGGAAAACUUCUAUCAUCACCUGUUUUUCCCCCUCAUGUCCUUUGAUUAUGUCCAAGCUCUUUACACCUUCUACACCUCACAGUUUCCUGAUUUCUCUUGCCCUUCUAAAGCACUUAAUUUUUCCCUAUAGACCUUGAAAGGGCUCAAUAUCACAUUCCACCUAAUCUUACAGUGAUCUUUCAGAGCCUUAAAGGUCAUAGUAGGUGUAUACUUAAGUAUUGGAACCAGUUUUUUCCCAACAACUUCCCAUUUAACACUCUUUUACCAGUUGGAAAGUAAUUGUGAAUAGGCUUCAAGCUAGCAAGAACAUAAUGAGUUUGAGGAGGAACCUACUAAAUCUAAUAUGCUAUGGACAACUUGGAUAGCACUUGACCACAAUUCUUUUCUUCUCAUUCUUCUCGAGGUACACAUUCUUCUUGUUCUGCAAACCAUACUCUUUCACCUCAGUUUUAACUAAAAGACCAGUGGCAAAGAUCUGACCCUCCUCAAAUACUACAGGUUCAUUGUUAAUACCCAACUUAAACCUAUUCAGUUUCCUCCUUCUUCAUCUCUCUUCUUCCUCAGAUACAUCAAGACUUUCUAGUAUAUCUCAGACUUCAUCCUCAUCUUCAAAGUCUUCCAAACCAGUCACUUCAGGGUUCCUAGAUUGUUCAACACCAACUAAAGAUCGAUUAUGGUUAACUGAAUGACCACCAAGGGUUGGGUUCACAGUCUGGUUAGGCAAAACAAUGGUCCAAUCCCUGUCUUCAUCAAAAUCACUAUCAUCAACAAAUACCUCAUCUACACUUCCAUCCUCAUUUUCUAAUUCAUACUCAGGAACGUCUCCCUCCUCACAACCAUUGUAAUCAGGAUCAGACUCAUCUUAGUCUUCAUCAAUUUUAGCUGGUUUCUUCCCUUUGUCAAGUAUAACAACCUUUUCAACCUCACUAUCAUACCUGCUGUCAGUAACAUCCACAUAUUUGGCUUCAACAUAAAACUCAGCUCCUACUACAUUCUUAUAUUCAUUUACGAACCUAACAACAUCCCUAUCAGUUUUCAACAACCUUAGACCAUCAACUAUAUCAAAACCUGGACAUAUAUACGACAGCUUGUAGUCCUCUACCACCCCAAUCUCUCUGAUCAGUUUAUCUAAAUCUAUUAAGUUCACCUCAUCAGUGUUCCACUCACCACCAAAUUCAUGUAUUUCACCCUUCUUAUAAGCUACCACAGGGUCACAAAUGAAGUAACCCUUGUAGUGAAACCUUAUCUUGGAAUAGUGGUUCUUAACAACCCUAAAAAAGAAUGAAUAAAUGAUACAUAAUGUGUAUUUUUAUAUUGUAGUGAAACCUUGUAGUAACCCUUGUCUAAAUCUAUUAAGUAACCCUUGUAUUUUUAUAUUGUAUUGUAAUACUGUAUGUAACUGUAUACAUAAUGUGUAUCUAUACAGUAUACAUACGGUAUACUCAUACUCUAUACAUACUGGCUAUUCAUAAAGUACACAAAUACAUACAUUUGGUCAUACGAUUUUACACAUACAAAGGAGCUCUCACGUGCCAAAGCCUUUUAUAUUUUCUUUUUUCUUCUUUUUUUAAUUCAACUAAUUUCUGGCGUGGCGUAAAAUUAAAUAAAAAACCAAUAUAUACCGACACGGCCUGACAGCAUGUGCCAAAUCAUCGUUGAUUAGGUCAAAAUUAAUCAAAGGAUGAAAUUUGAAAUGAGGCUAAAUCAUAGGGGGCCAAAAUUACAAAUUUAGUUAAAAAUUUGUAUCAAAUCCAUCAUCUUAUAUUGUCGUAUUUUUGCUUAUAUGUUUAGACAAAGGGAAUAUGGGUUGACAUUAACUGUUCGUUCUCCUUUUUCUCUUAAAAUUUUAUAUCAAUAGUAAUUACCCUUUUACGGUCGGCCUCUAUUUGUUACACGGAUUGUUUUUAUAUUUCGUUCCAUAUAAAUAUGAAAUUUAAACAUUGCAAGAAUUAAAACACCAAUCAAAUUAUAGUGUUAAAUUAAAAGAACGAGUAAUGUACGAGUCAAAAUCACCACAUCCAUGCACAUGCAUCAUUUAUUAAAAUCCAGACGGAUAUCGAAGAAAUACAAUUGAUCAAUUGGAAACAAGGUUGUUUUAUUUAAGGUCCAAUGGAUCCAAAUGUCCUUUAAGUUUUUCUUUUUUUUCAAGUUGGACUAUUAAGUUUCAAAAGUUUCAAAUAAGUCCUUUUAGUUUCUGAAACGUUUCAAAGUCAUAUAGUCAGCGUUUCAAUUGCUGUUUUUUUUUUUAGUGAACCAUCAAAUUCGUCCCUGAAUUUUCACACGUCGGCCAACUUCGUCCCUCAAUUAUGAGAAAUAUCAACUUAGUCCCUGAAUUUGUCAGACGUCCAUCAAAAAGGUCCCUCCGUCCAAGUCCUCAGUUAGCCUUGCUGAUCUGUCGCCUUGCAUGCUGUGUUGUCUUGUACACGUGGCAAGAAGGAAGCCACGUGUUCACGGACUAAUUUGAUUGAAUUGGAAAAUGUUGAGUUUUCACUUUUCAGUUUAUUUUUUUCUCCAUUUCCCAUUUUGCCCCUGUAUUACCCAUACCUCCUUCUUCACAUUUCAGAACAUCAAAAACGUCCUUGACCCUUCUUCUUCUCGCUAAAACUUCCUCCAUUUUCACCCCUCCAAAAUCAUCAUCAUCUCCGUCGAUUCUGACAUUUUUGAAGUUUGUGUGUUCGGUUGUGAUUAAAGGUAAACGCCUUUCCUGUUGUUUAUCAAGUUUUUGUGUUCGUAUUCACCCUGUUUUUGUCCGUUUUUUUUGGUGUUUUCGUUUUAAGUUUUGAUCAUGUUGUUUAUUUUGUUUUUGUGAUCGUUGAUGCUUGCGUUAUUCUUUGUUUGUGUUUGUUGCGUUUUUGAGACAGUUGUUUUGAUUAUUCGUUUUAGGGUUUUGGAAGUGAGGCUCAAGAAAGUCAGCCACAAGAAUAAUGUUGUGUCUGGGAAUGCAUAAACUACAGGAAAUGUUGUUGCAAAUGCUGGACAGGUAUGACUCUUAAUUUUUAAGGAUCGUUUUGGCAAUUAAUAAUAUUAAUUGAAGUACUCGUAUGAUUGAUUAUGUUAUGAUUUAGGGACUAAUUUGAUUGAAUUUACAAUUUCAGGUUUCUGCACCAAGGAGGUAUGGCCUUAGAGGACCAGUUCUUUCAGUUGAUAGGCCUAAGCAAACACCAAUGAGGGGUCCUGCACCAGCUCAUCUAACUCCUGCUGGCAUAAUUAGGGUUCCAUAUCCAAUCUAUGGUCCAUCCGGUUCGACCCAACCUACUAAAUUCAUGGAGUUUAUACCAACUACUGGAUUCCCAAAGAAGUGACGCUUCCUGGAGUUUAAUAGACGUUUUUGAUUUGUAAUAUUUAGGCUUAUUUGAAUUAUGCCCCAUAGUUGGGUUUCUUUUUGCUUAAAUUGUCGUUUAAGACUUAUGACUUGUUAAUGCCUCAUAGUUGGGUUGCUUUUGCAUAUGUAAUUUCUCAGACUUAUGACUUAUAACCUAUGACUUAUGUCUAUGUAAUAUUUCAGUUUCAAUUUGUGUGUUCUGCCUUUUUUAGUUUAUUUUGUACACAUAUGUUUCAAGGAUCAAUUUGAUAUCUGAUUAAACAAUUCAGGGACUUAUUUGAUGGUUUUUUAUAUAACGUAGGGAUCUAUUUGAUAGAUAGAUAAAUAAUUCAGGGACUAAUUUGAUGGCAAUAUUAUUAUAGAAAGAUUACAUUUCUCAAUCAUCUUCAACCUCUUUUGAUUAGUUAAACCAACCUUUGGCAUAAGGCAAGCAUAGAAUGACCUUCCUGGGUUUUUUGAAGUAUUGGAUUUUCUAACAACACAAAUUGUAGGACACCAACAUUCAAGCACUCUCACAACACCAUUAAACUUGGAGCUUGAUGAUGAAGUUUGACUUUCAUAACCGUUUUUUCCCAUAUUCCCACCCCACAUCAUUUCAGAUUCAAUUCAAUAGUUUUGUUUCAAGAAAUUUUGAGGAUUUUGCCUUUUAGAUUCACUACGAAAAAAAUUAGGGUUUGAAGUUUUUUGAAUUGGGGCAGAACUGAACCACUUAUUAUUGGAGGAAAUGUUCAUGAUUAUAGAGUGUAGAUUGCAGAUUGUGUAAUUAGGGUUCCAAUUUUAUACAAUUGGGGAAGAAAGAGUUGUUGGGGAAGAAAAGAGCCAUUUGGGAAGAAAGCCAAAACAUUUUCUGCAAAUCAAUCAAUUUAGUCCUUCGAAAUGUUUGUUAUUAUCAGCCAAAUUAGUCCCUGCCUACGUGGCGUCUGACAUGUGAGAGGUUAACGGUCAUGUUAGCCCCGUUAACGCUCCGUUUGAACAGAAGGACCAACUUGAUUGACAUUUAACAAAUUCAGGGAUUAAAUUGAUAUUUCGCAUAAUUGAGGGACGAAGUUGGCUGACCCGUGAAAAUUCAGGGACGAAGUUGAUGAUCUACUCGUUUUUUUUUAGUUGAUAGAAAUUUUGAACUCAAUUUCGUUUUAAAUUGAUAGGAACACUUAAUUUUUUAUGAAAAUUAUCUUUCAUUCAUCACUAUUAUUUUGUUUUGCAUUUGGGUUUAUAUGUUUUUCGAAUGAGAAAUGAUAUUUUGACAACCAUUUUGUGACAACCUAUGUGACAACUUUAUCUCUCAUACUCACAUUAUUUUUUACUUUCUCUCUCUAUUAUUUUGGUUUCCGUGUCACUAUCUACUUUCCUUUGUAAAUUAGUAGUUGUCACAAAAGUUGUCACUCAAUUUAUUGUUCAAAUUACACACCUCUUUUCGAAUUAUGUAUGUGAUUGCUAUGAAGAUGUCAAAUUAAACAUUAGUUGUAACGCAAGUAUAAUAUUAGGCACAGAGAGUAGAGCACACAGUAACUAUAACAGUGCUUUUAAAGUUUUUCCUUAUGAAAUUUGUUGUGUUUCAUCACAUAAUGAAACUUUCAUCACAUAAUGACUCAAACUGGUACCAAUCCCUUUUGCUGCAAAUUAGUAUAAAGAUGAGAGUAAAACUGUGCCAUAAAGAUGCAUGAUUCUUAAGUGGCAAUUUCCAAAGCCAUCUUCAAGUAGUCUUUUUCAUUAGAGUUAGAGGCCAUCACCCGUAUAGUCAAUGCAGGUACUUCCAACUAAAUGCAAAUGGACACAACGACACGUUACGAUGUCGCCGCAUGGAUUCGGCAAUGCCCGUGAACAACGCAUACCGACUCUUGCACAUUGCCCUGCUUCAACGUUCUUAAUCUGGACAAUUACUGCAAAUGGCAAAGGAAGUUAAAGUUGGAACCAAUACACAUCUAUGCAUAUAAC
rnacentral:lncRNA from 1 species